rnacentral:lncRNA from 1 species
GCCAUGGUUUUCCUCUUAGCCCCGCAAGUGCACUCAGCCCUUUCUCCGGUCUGUGUAGAUAAUGUCUCUCUGCAUGUGGGGCCAGUUCAAGGAGGAAAUGCUGAAAAAGAGUAAACAUUGAAACGUGCAGCUCCCCGGAAGGCUUUCUUUUUUUCUUUUUCUUUUUUUUGAGACAGGUUUCUCUGCAACAUUUGCUGUCUUGGAACUCACUCUGUUGACCAGGCUACAGAUCUGCUUGCCUGUGUCUCAGUAGUGCUGGGAUUACACGUGUGUACCACCACUCCUGGCUUUUAAGAAUUUUUUUUCUGGUCUCUAAAAGGUGUUAGCAACAAAGUAUAAAAAGAGGCGCUGCCUUGCCCUUGCCUUUGGUUAGGGAGAGGAUGAGGGCAAGACAUGAGGGCUGGAAUGAAAGAACUUGUGAAGAAUCUCCACUACAGUAGUGAGGAGGGGGGAGGAGAGGCCUUCUGGAAGCCAGCGAAGUACCCUGUGGGCUGGAACUGCUUUGCCUUAUUUGCCCCCUGCUUUUCAGAUACAGUGUAUAGCAGCCACACCCUAGAGGAAUGGGAAGGUUGGUUGAGUUUCUCAACUUCCAUGGAACCUGUUGAGUUUAAGCUUGAUCAUAAUUGAGUGUUAUCAGCCACCGUGUUUUAAUUUUCUUACUUAUGAAAUUAUGUUGUUCAUAGAUUUAGUCAUCUCCCUGCUGCGUUAUACUCCUUACCACUACCCAUACUGCCUUCCUCCAUUGGCUUUGUUUGUUUUGUCUUAAAGAUUUAUAUAAUGUAUAUGAGCAUCCUGUCACUGAUACACCAGAAGAGGGCAUUGGAUCCAAUAACAGGUGGUUGUGAGCCACCAUGUGGUUGCUGGGAAUUGAACUCAGGACCUCCCGAAGAGUAGUCAGUGCUCUUAACUGCUGAGCCAUUUCACCAGCUCUUCUCCAUCUUUUACUAAACCCAUGGUACACUUUAAAGUGUGUACUUCAGAACUGAGCACAAUGAUGUUUUGUAGUCUGUCUUAUUUUAGGUUAGUAUUGCCAUGUUGAUAAAUUAAUUUCUUAAAUUAGAACCUUCUAAAUAUGAUAAAAAUUAAAGUUAUAAUCAGUGUUCUUUCAUUACAGACCUGGGCAAAGAAGAAAAUGACAUAUUUAACAGAGAGCUGGAAAUGGGUUAAUAUUUAGAUCUCUAAGACUCCUUGUUGUUGGUUUGGGUCUUUGGUGUUUGAUUCAAACCCUGUCCUGGAGAUUGAAUGUAGGGCCUCACACUGAACUGCGUCUCUCCAGCCACUUUCCUAUUGGAGUCAGGCUCUCCAUCUUUCUUUCUUUAGACAGGGUCUCACUAUGGUUUCGCUGACCAACCUGGAACUUACUGUGAAAGCCAGACUAGCCAAACAAUUCCACAUAGAAGACUUCAUUAAAUAUAGUAAAUAUAAGCAAGAGUGCUUUACAUUUAUUUUUUACUUUUAUUUAUGUGUGUGUGCCACGUGCGUGUGGGUGCCCAUGGAGGCCAGAUGAGGCUUCCUCUGGAACUGCUUGACAUGAGUGCUAGGAACUGAUUUUGAGUCCUUUGAGAGAACAGCAACUGGCCAUAACUGCUGAACCACCUUUCUAGCCCCUAUUUAUUUUUACUGUAGGUGUAGGUGUAUACACCUGAGAAUGUGUAAGUGUAUAUGGGAGCAGGAAGAAGUCAAGAGAGUCAGAUACACUGAAACUGCAAUUCCAGGUGGCUGUGCACUCUUAUGUGGGUGCUUGGAACCAAACCAUGUCCUCUAUAAAAGCAGUAAGCUACUUGAACCACUGAGACAUCUCUCCAGCCCUAACACAAAUAUAUUUUAAGAAGAAUAAUUCACCGGGCGGUGGUGGUGCACGCCUUUAAUCCCAGCACUUGGGAGGCAGAGGCAGGCGAAUUUCUGAGUUCCAGGCCAGCCUGGUCUACAGAGGGAGUUCCAGGACAGCCAGGGCUACACAGAGAAACCCUGUCUCAAAAAAAAAAAAAAAAAAAAACCAGAGAGAGAGAGAGAGAGUGAGUGAGUGUGUGUGAGAGUUCGUUCCAGGACAGGCAAGGCUAAUAGUGAAACUCUGUAUAGGAAAAUAAUAAUAAUUCACUUACCUUAAAAUUCAUUCUUUCAAAGUUUUUACUUCAGAGCUAGGUAGAGUGGGCUAUGGACUGGUAGCUUCAACUAAUUAGAAGGCUGAGACAAGAAAAUCACUUUAUCCUAGGAGUUUGAGGCUAGCCUGGGCAAUGUACUAAGUUCUUCUCAAAAACAAAAAUUUUAAUAUGCGCUUUACUAUUGUUUUAGAUGUAUUUAAUUAUGUUAUGUGAGUGUUUUGGCUGCAUGUAUGUGGCUAGGGUGUGCAGACACCAGAAGAGGGUACAGCAUGCCCUGAAACUGAAGUUGCAGAAUUGUGGUUCUGAGAACCAAAGCUGGGUCCUCUGCAAGAGCAGCAAGUGUUGUUACUCACUGGAUCAUCAUCCAGCCCCAGCAACAAACUUACAAAGUCUUUGCUAAUACCCACGAGAAAUCUAAAGGGCUGGAGCGUUGGCUUAGUAAGAAAAUGCUUGCUGCAGAGCUAUGGGCACCUGAGUUUGCUGAGACACCCAGCAAAGUCAAGCCUGGCAGCCUACAAGCCCAUGCUGGGGAGCUCAGGACAGGCAUUCCUGGGACUUACUACAGCCAGGCUAGCUGGAAAAGAAAGCUCUAGGUUAAGUGAGAGGCCCUGUUUUAAAAAAUUAUUUGGAGAGCAAUUAAAAAAUUAGUGUAGUUGGCUGGGCAGUAGUGAUACAUGCCUUUAAUCCCAGCACUUGGGAGGCAAGACUACACAGAGAAACCCUGCCUAGAUUACACACACACACACACACACACACACACACGGUCAACCUCUAGCCUUUGUGCACCCGUGCACAUUUGUGCACAUCACGUGUAUACACUCAGAAUAUAUAUAUACACAGAAUUCUAGGCCAGCAGGAUGGCUCAGAGAGGAAAGGCACGUGCUGUGCAGGCCUAAUAUCCUGGAGAAAACUGAUUCCUGAAAGUUCCCUCUGUCCUCCCUGACAAACUGUGACACGGUAAAUACCGGUUUUGGUUUUUAAUCAAAAAGAUGAUAAAAACAUUCCAAAAUACAAUUUAUUUUUUAAUAAUAAAUCCUAAGAUUGAAGAUUGUUCUUUUCAGGUAUUCCUAGCCUCAUUCUUUCUAAGGCAGCCAAUACUAAAAUGUUCUCCAAGGAAUUGUCCUUAUUUAUUUUUCUCAGGUUUUGUGAAACUAAGGGGUUUGCUUUCCUCAUACUCUUAACUGGAUCCAUCUUCCUGGGGAAGGUCAGAUAUGUUUCCUGAAUGUCUUUUAUUUUCCUAGGACCUUGCUGCUGUUUGAACACAGUGACAUUGUCGUAAUCUCUCUGCUCAGUGUUCUGUUCACUAGCUCUGGAGGAGGACCAGCAAAGGUAGGCUUUUCCACCAUUGUUACAUAGCAAGUGAAAGGCACUAAAUAAACACUAUUCAUAACCAUUCGUGAUGAUGAAGAGAUUCAUGCUAGCUUAACAUUUGUCUUACAAAAACAUUUUUCUGGGCUGGAGACAUGGCUCAGUGGUUAAGAGCACCAACUGCUCUUCUGAAGGUCCUGAGUUCAAAUCCCAGCAACCACAUGGUGGCUCACAACUAUUCGUAAUGAGGUCUGACGCCCUCUUCUGGUGUGUCUGGAGACAGCUACAGUGUACUUAGAUAUAAUAAUAAAUAAAUCUUUAAAAAAAAAACAUUUUUCUAUUUUCAUUUCAUCUUCACGUGAUUAUAGAGUCAUAGGAUGUUGUAAGAUUAGUUACAAAGAUGUAUUUUCCACCCAUUUUUUUGCAAAGGAAACUUAAAAGUUGAUAUUGGUAUAACCGGUGCUAUUAGCAGUGUUAGACUUUGUAGAUUGUAUAAAUGCCUCUGCCGUAAAGAUGGAGAAGUGACAUGUCACCAGUAAAGAUCUCCUUCACGUGGAGCCAGCCCAUAGCUCUCUCUGCUUUAUUAAGUU